AAGUAUUACAGUUCUUUUAGAAUUCGUUUAGCAGGUUUUCUAGUGUUUACUUGAAAGCCCCU
rnacentral:snRNA from 1 species